GUACGGAUUGAUAGUUUAGUCUUAGUUGCAUGAUUUUUUUAUUAGUUGUUAGUGGCUUUGAACUAGCUGUCAGAUAACUGCGAGUACUCUCAGAUCUGUUCAUUGUGUCUUUUUGUGUCGGGAUGUAUAAGUACCGGGCCACGUCCACUUGUAUUUUUGUCCAUCUGAUGAGUUAAGCCUUUUUCAACUGAUUUUUAUAGUUCGUUCUUAUGUUGUACUGUUAUACCACUGUCCCAGGUUAGGGGAGGGUUGGGAUCCCGCUAACAUGUUUAACCCCGCCACAUUAUUUAUGUAUGUGCCUGUCCCAAGUCAGGAGCCUGUAAUUCAGUGGUUGUCGUUUGUUUAUGUGUUACAUAUUUGUUUUUCGUUCAUUUUUUUACAUAAAUAAGGCCGUUAGUUUUUCUUGUUUGAAUUGUUUUACAUUGUCUUAUCGGGGCCUUUUAUAGCUCACUAUGCG
rnacentral:lncRNA from 1 species